AAUGAACAUCGCCAGGCAGAGGGUAAACUCCAGGACACGCACUGCACAUUGCCUUUCCCUUGUAUGUCCCCAAACCAGCAGAGGGUGUGUUGGUGCUCCAAUAAAUGAAAUUGAAUGAAAGCUUCUCUUUCUGGUCUCUCUUCAUUAUUAAUCCAUAAAGGCCUUUAAGGGGGUCAGCUUUUGUUGCAAUCAACACUAGGGCAGGCAAGGACUCAGGGCAUCGAAGUCUUUCUUCUUCUCAAAGCUCCUUUUGAGCCCAGUUCUGCAGAGUCUUGCUUAUCUGGAGAGACCGGCAAGCCAUAGGAGAUAAAAACAGAUUAUGUUACACGCUUAAAUGUGGAACGUGGGCUUCCUGCAAGAGCUUGGAGUUUCCAGAAACACCGAAACUGUCUCCCCUUGGGCGAUCCCAGCCGAAACUGCCUCCCCUUGGGCGAUCUCAGCGCCUCGGGGGCAAUAGCUCUGACGCAGUUCAGACUUCACUCCAAGCCACAGAAUCGCAAACAACCUUUCUUCUCAGCCGGGCCUUUGAAGCGCUCUACUCGACCGGAAAACACUUCGGAGCCAAACAGAAGCGGACUCCGACCAACAGCGGCCGGUAGGGGACGGCAGACCCCGGCCUUUUCAGCCGCGGGGGCUGCCGCCCGCGCCCCCAGGUGGGGGUCCCCAGGUCCACCAGACCUGUCGCAGGUUUUCUGCUCAGUGGCUCCACCAGCCCAGCUCAUUCCCUUCUCAGGCUGCAGGCUUGGGCUGCAAGGGAGAGGAUUCCAAGGCGGGGAUGGGAGCUGGUGCGGGCGCCUGGCCAAUUGCUAUGGACGAUUUAUGCCUCUGAUAGGAAAACUGGAGAUGCUGGCCAAGUCGGCAGCUGCCUGCAUUCCGGCAAAGUCACAGGGCGGCGGCGGCGGCGGCCUCGCAGCCAGUGCCCGCGCGGCGGGAGCCGGGACCCGCCCCGGGGAAGGAUGCGCGGAGCCAAGGAGCGCUGAUGCUUGGCCCUGGUGCUCCAGACCCUGAAGUCCAGUUUCGAAACUGACCAGAGUAGGCCAUGUUUCGGAGGAGGGCAGCCCCUACGUCUCCCCUUUGCUGAGGGCGUGUGAAGAGACUGUGGCGGGCUGGGUGGGAAGAGAUGGGCAAAGAGCUCCAAUACCUGUAUUUCCGUGCAGAGACAUUUUACAGCCAGGAAAAACCAAUAUCAUCAGUUCUGCCAUAACAUGCCCACUGUGGGCAUGUCAUCUUCCUGCUACAAAUUUUACCUGUUUUAUGCUGUACCUGUGUUCCUAGAAAGACAUAUUGUUGUCCCUCAAUCGUGUCCAACUCUUUGCGACUCUAUGGACUGCACCAUGCCAGGAUUCCCUGUCCUUCACCGUCUUCCCGAGUUUGCUCAAACUAAUGUCCAUUGAGUCAAUGAUGCCAUCCAACCAUCUCAUCCUCUGCUCCCCCCUUCUCCUCCUGCCCUCAAUCUUUCCCAGCAUCAGGAUGUUUUCCAGUGAGUUGGCUCUUUGCAUCAGGUGGCCAAAGUAUUGGAGCUUCAGCUUUAGCAUCAGUCCUUCCAAUGAAUAUUCAGAGUUGGUUUCCUUUAGGAUGAACUGGUUUGCUCUCCUUGCUGUCUAAGGGACUCUCGAGAGUCUUCUCUAGCACCACAUUUUGAAAGCAUCAAUUCUUCGGCCCUCAGCCUUCUUUAUGGUCCAACUCUCGCAUCCAACAUACAGUACUGGAGUGGGCUGCCACUUCCUUCUCCAGAGGAUCUUCUGACCCAGGGAUCGAACCUGGAUCUCCUGCGUUUCAGGCAGGUGCUUUACCCUCUGAGCCACCAGGGCUCAUAGCUUUGACUAGACGGACCUUUGUCAGCAAAGCAGUAUCUUUGCUUUUUAAUAUGCUGUCUAGGAGGUUUGCCAUAGCUUUGCCAUAACUUCCAAGGAGCAAGGAGCUUUUAAUUUCAUGACUGCGGUCACCAUCUGCAGUGAUUUUGGAGCCCAAGAAAAUAAAAUCUGCCACACUUUCUAUUUUUUACCCA
rnacentral:lncRNA from 1 species